ensembl:lncRNA
UGAAAAGAGAAUUGUACGCUACUUUGACACUCCGUUGCUAGCUUAGAGUUGCAGGAGAAAGGCUGAAAGAUCCAUCUCCCUCUUGAAGCUGGAUGGAUGAACUGAAGCGGCAGACAGAGCCUGGAGGGAGAAAGGAAAGAACUGAUAUAAAGUGAACCUCGGGGAAAGCAGAGUCGGAGCUGAGAGAAGCAGGAGAAGGAUGAAUCCCAGAGGAUACCAUGAUCAGCUGAGUUUUCAGUUUGAAGUUCUGGAGCUGGAGGGCUGCAUUCCCUGACGGACUAGAAAUAACUGCAGGCUCCAAAUCCCCACUAAUUCAGGGCAGCGUUCUUGAAUUUGCCUACUUAAUGACAGAUGCAUAAACUUACUUUGAGUUAAAUUGUCAAGGAAGCCCAUGAACGCUUGAAGGAGGAACUGGACAAGAGAAGAACACCUGUAGUUACCAACGAAGAAGAGCUCUUCAGUGUAUCCGUCACCAUACAAAUGUGGGUGGAGAUGUUCCCUUCCCCUAUGAGCUCAUCGACCAUACAGACAAGACAAAUUCAGGCUGCAGGAUGGAUUGGUCAUACACUGUCCAGAAGUGGGAGAUCCAGCCAUCUUUAUGAAAGGACUGUGUUUUUAAACAUGAAAAACGCCCUAAGAAUGGUCCAAAGAGUAGAAAAGAAAGGUUGGAAACCAAUAGGGAUAAACAAACAAACAACAAAAUAAACCACCCUGCAGGAAAUAAAUGUGGAAAACAGACUGAUGACAGCUUUGUGACAUCCACCCCUCUGCCUCCGAGUGCCUUUUAUCCAACAGGAAAACAAAGCAUGCAGUUAAGGAAGACUGGAAAAAUUAAGGAUUUCAGGGGCAAUAUAAAGAGGAGAAAAAUGGCAACGGACUGCUCUGCUUCUAAUGACAUCAAGUGAUUUGAAUCUGACACUGAUGGGAUAAUUUGAGAAGCUACCAUCAAUUCUCUCAAAUCUUUUUCUCCUUGCCUUCCCACUGGGCUGAAAAAGAAAGAUACCACAGAAGUAGCUGUUGCCCAGGAAUUGAGCAGGAAAGCCUUCAUUUCCACCUCUAGCCCUGGAAUAUUGUCUGACAGGCACAAGAAAAAUAAG